rnacentral:tRNA from 5 species
GGCGGGGUUCCCGAGCGGCCAAAGGGAGCAGACUGUAAAUCUGCCGUCAUCGACUUCGAAGGUUCGAAUCCUUCCCCCACCACCA